rnacentral:rRNA from 1 species
GGAGGAUCCAAGCGUUAUCCGGAAUCAUUGGGUUUAAAGGGUCCGUAGGCGGUUUAGUAAGUCAGUGGUGAAAGCCCAUCGCUCAACGGUGGAACGGCCAUUGAUACUGCUAAACUUGAAUUAUUAGGAAGUAACUAGAAUAUGUAGUGUAGCGGUGAAAUGCUUAGAGAUUACAUGGAAUACCAAUUGCGAAGGCAGGUUACUACUAAUUGAUUGACGCUGAUGGACGAAAGCGUGGGUAGCGGACAGGAUUAGAUACCCUGGUAGUCCACGCCGUAAACGAUGGAUACUAGCUGUUGGGAGCAAUCUCAGUGGCUAAGCGAAAGUGAUAAGUAUCCCACCUGGGGAGUACGUUCGCAAGAAUG